rnacentral:rRNA from 1 species
GACGAACGCUGGCGGCGUGCUUAACACAUGCAAGUCGAGCGGUAAGGCCCUUUCGGGGUACGACGAGCGGCGAACGGGUGAGUAACACGUGGGUGACCUCGCCCUCCAGCUCUGGGAUAAGCCUGGGAAACCGGGUCUAAUACCGGAUAUGACUCCAUGACGCAUGUUGUGGGGUGGAAAGCCUUGUGCGGCUGAGGAUGGGCCCGCGGCCUAUCAGCUUGUUGGUGGGGUGGAUGGCCUACCAAGGCGACGACGGGUAGCCGGCCUGAGAGGGC